GUAGCAGGACGGUCGUGUCGCUUGCCGAGUGUAGUCCGCUCGCGGGCUGCUGAGCGGCAAGAGGAAAGUCCGGGCAACACAGAGCGCCAUACUCUUUAACUGAGAGCUGUCGGUGACGGCAGAGUAGCGUGACAGAGAAUGACAGCCUCCUCUCCCGUAGGGGAGGUGAUGGUGAAAAGGUGGGGUAAGAGCCCACCGGGUAUCGUGGCGACACGAUAUGCCGCACGUCUUAUGGGUUGCAAGGCCAUGUAUACCGGCACGUGGAUGUGCUCCGCCCGGCGGAGCCGCCACAAUGGGUUGCUCGCCCAUCGCCGGGGGGUAGGCUGCUCGAGCGCCAAGCCAUGCGAGGCGCCAAUUAGAUAAAUGACUGCGACCGCCGCGGUAACCUGUCGGUCCUCCGGGGCCUGACCAGAAGUGCCGCGACGACAUAACCCGGCUUAUAGUCCUGCUACCUUU
rnacentral:RNase_P_RNA from 1 species